UCUAUAAGUCUUGUCUAAAUUACGUGCCAGCAGACGCGGUAAUACGUAGAAGACUAGUGUUAUUCAUCUUUAAUGGGUUUAAAGGGUACCUAGACGGAAAAUCAAGCCAAAUAAAGGGACUAAUAUUAGAGUUUUAUAAAAGAAGAUGGAAUUUUCGGAGUAGAGUUGAAAUUCAGUUAUACCGUGAAGACUGGUAACGGCGAAGGCAAUCUUCUAUGUAAAAACUGACGUUGAGGGACGAAGCCUAGGGUAACGAUAAGGAUUAGAGACCCUAAUAGUCCUAGGAGAAAAUUAUGAAUGUCAUAAGCUAGAUUAUUUUAGUUUAUAAAUGAAAGUGUAAGCAUUCCACCUCAUGAGUAAAGCGGCAACGCUCAAAUUGAAAUCAUUAGACCGUUUCUGAAACCAGUAGUGAAGUAUGUUAUUUAAUUCGAUGAUCCGCGAAUAACCUUACCACAAUUUGAAUAUUUUACAAGUGCUGCACGGCUGUCUUUAGCUAAUGUCGUGAGAUUUGGUUAACUCCUCUAAUUAGCGCAAGCCCUUGCUUUAUUUAUUUUUUUCAUAAAGUAGUUCACCA
rnacentral:rRNA from 1 species